rnacentral:tRNA from 1 species
CCUGCAGCGAAUGCCGGUGGAACUACAGACUUUUAAUCUCGUGGUCGCAGGUUCGAAUCCUGCCAGCAGUUGCA